rnacentral:rRNA from 1 species
GUGGAUUAGAUACCCUGGUAGUCCACGCCGUAAACGAUGGAUACUAGCUGUUGGGGGCAACUUCAGUGGCUAAGCGAAAGUGAUAAGUAUCCCACCUGGGGAGUACGUUCGCAAGAAUGAAACUCAAAGGAAUUGACGGGGGCCCGCACAAGCGGUGGAGCAUGUGGUUUAAUUCGAUGAUACGCGAGGAACCUUACCAAGGCUUAAAUGUAGUUUGACCGUUUUGGAAACAGAACUUUCGCAAGACAAAUUACAAGGUGCUGCACGGCCGUCGUCAGCU